GACAGAGGUCCCGAGCGUUAGGCGGAAUCACUGGGCUUAAAGCGUGUGUAGGCGGAUCUGUAAGUACCUUGUGAAAUCCCACGGCUUAACCGUGGAACUGCUCGGUAUACUGCGGAUCUUGAGCCACCUAGGGGCGAGCGGAACAAGUGGUGGAGCGGUGAAAUGCGUAGAUAUCACUUGGAACGCCAAUGGUGAAAACAGGCUGCUGGGGUUGCGCCGACGCUGAGACACGAAAGCCAGGGGAGCAAACGGG
rnacentral:rRNA from 1 species